UUAUCCAUGAUGAUUCCCAGUCAAAUAUUCCUUGGAAAUUUUGAAGAAAUUGAGUGAAAAAUCAGUACCUCCAGUCGCAUUGGUACUGACUUUU